rnacentral:tRNA from 1 species
GAAAUUAUAGCUUAACUGGUUAAAGCGUCGACCUGUCACGUCGAAUAUUGUGGGUUCAAAUCCCAUUUUUUUCG